rnacentral:rRNA from 1 species
AUACGGAGGAUGCGAGCGUUAUCCGGAUUUAUUGGGUUUAAAGGGAGCGCAGGCGGAGAUGCAAGCGUGACGUCAAAUUUCGGGGCUCAACCCCGUCUCGCGUCGCGAACUGCGUCCCUUGGUUGCGGGAAGGGGAGGCGGAACUCGUGGUGUAGCGGUGAAAUGCAUAGAUAUCACGAAGAACUCCGAUCGCGAAGGCAGCCUUCCGGCCCGUCAACGACGCUCAUACUCGAAGGUGCGGGUAUCAAACAGGAUUAGAUACCCUGGUAGUCCGCACAGUAAACGAUGGACACCCGCGGUUUGGCCUGUAUGGCUGAGCCGCCAAGCGAAAGCGUUAAGUGUCCCACCUGGGGAGUACGCCGGCAACGGUGAAACUCAAAGGAAUUGACGGGG